GUGAGGAAUUUUCCGCAAUGGGCGAAAGCCUGACGGAGCAAUGCCGCGUGAAGGAUGAAGGCCUAUGGGUUGUAAACUUCUUUUCUCAGAAAAGAAUUAUGACGGUAUCUGAGGAAUAAGCAUCGGCUAACUCUGUGCCAGCAGCCGCGGUAAGACAGAGGAUGCAAGCGUUAUCCGGAAUGAUUGGGCGUAAAGCGUCUGUAGGUUGUUUAAAAAGUAUUCUGUCAAAGAUUAGGGCUUAACCCUAGAUAGGCAGAAUAAACUUUUAAGCUAGAGUUUGGUAGAGGGAGAGGGAAUUCCCGGUGGAGCGGUGAAAUGCGUAGAUAUCGGGAGGAACACCAAAGGCGAAGGCACUCUGCUGGGCCAAUACUAACACUGAGAGACGAAAGCGAGGGGAGCAAAUAGGAUUAGAUACCCUAGUAGUCC
rnacentral:rRNA from 1 species